GGUUUUGGAGCAUUUUCUGUUUCCCAACAAGCCCUAAAGGAAACUAUUUUUAAUUUUAUGGGUUCUGACAACAGAGUGAAAGGAUGUAGAGAUGUGGUUGACACUUUCACCAGGUCGGCUGAGAGAGAUAAUCACACAAUCAAAGAAACAAUUGGCUAAAGUUUGUGCUGAUACAAAAAUGAAGUGGGUGGAUGCGCUGCCCUUGGUGAUGUUUUACAUCAGAUCAUCACCCACUGAGCUCAUGGGUUUAACUCUCCAUGAGCUGCUGACAGGAAGAACCAUACCCUGACCUUUCACCUCCUCUCUCCAGUCGGGCUGUGAACCCAGUCUGGAUUUACAGAGAGAACAACUGACAUAUUCAAAGAUUUUAAUCUGCUGUGAAGUUUUUCUCUCAUAAAACACAGGAGGCUCUAACCAAAGAACCAACAGGAGAAACAAACUCUGGAUGAGAACAAAACUAAGGUCAGCAGAUCAUAUAGCAGGAAGGGAGAGACGUCCUCUGAAGGAAACCUCAGAGAAAUCAGAAAGCACCUGAGGAAGAACAUAUGAAUAGGUUUGAAUGGAUAUCUUUUGACUUAACAUUUCAUUUCCAGCUAACACAUCAAAAAUGUGCUGGUGAAACUAAAUUAAUUUAUUCCAGAAACCAUAACGUCAUAAGGUAAGAUUAACUCAUCUUUUUGAUUUCAACUAACUAAAUACAAUUAUGUGGAACCUGUUUCAUAAAUGCUGAGUGGGCUGGGUUACUUCAACAGAGGGAACAUGAUAAAGAUUAAACAAUAAAAAUUAUAUUUGUUGGGUUAAAGCUUGAAGGAGUAUGUCCUGGUAAAUUUGAAAUAAGGUCACAAAAUCAAAAAUCACAGGUGAGAAGGAUUUCUAAAGUAAAACUGUGAAUAAUCAACAAACAAAUGUCUACUUCUGUGAAUGUGGGAAAUUGUGGAAUAAAUUGCAUGAAGGGUUAAAGGAGUGUUCAACUAUUUAAUGUCGGGUUCUGGGAGCCUGUCUGUUUUCUGCUUGCUGCUAACCUUAUUCGUCCAGCAGAGGGUGUCGAGCUACAGGAGGAAUGUGGACAGGUGUUUCCCAUCUUCUGAUUGCCGUGUACGCUACUUAAGCCGUGGCUGCCUGCUACUCGUCGCCUGAGUGUUGAGCCUAUGUGGUAUCAGUAACCUUGAUGUGCAUCGAUCCUCUAACUAUUCCUCGACCGCUUGGAGCCUUUUGGAUUACCUGUCUGGAAUUCUACGUACACUCCUGGACUGAGCAAUCUUCACCUUUUACUGGAUCUGUGCUACAUUACGACAAGCGUACUUCUCCUGCAGACCUGUCCACCCUCCUACGUAACUCCUGCUUCACCUUCCGCUCGCUUUCCACAGAAAGCACGUUUCGCUGUGAGCUCUACUUCAGUUCUCCUAAACCCCGUCUCCCCUGGUGGAUUCCAUUCACUCUCUAUUGGAGAGACCAGAUCCCUGUCAUCCCCGUGUAGAAUUUAGAAAUAAUAAACUUCUUUUCACCCUU